AGAAGGAGACCACGGGAGGAAACUUGGGUCACAGCAGCGUUGGAACAUGAGAACCUGAGUGAGCGUGCCAGGCUCCAUAAGUGACAGCGCAGAGGAGGUCCAGCGAUGGACUUGUGGUUCUGUGAACAGCACAAAUGCCAGGAGCAGAGUCUGAAGUCUGGAGAUUGGAUGUUGAUAAGGCCAUGGAGAGGAAGUGCUGGUCCAGUCCACGGUGGGAAGGUCCCUAUCAGGUGCUGCUGACAACGCCCACAGCAGUGAAGAUCGCUGAAAGGAACACUUGGAUACAUCAAGCGCACUGCAAGAAGGUGACACACUUCCUGGCCGACUCUGGGUGAUGGUGAAAAGUCCAGGGUGCAAAGGGGGGAGUAUAUCUCUAGGACCUCUCGUCUCAAUCCUGGUGAAGAAACCAACGGAUCCUGAACCCAAUUUAGAAUGGUUAAGGAAUGUGCUGUGCACCUUCUUGUGCCUGUGGACCCAGAGUGGGAUGACAGGAGCGCACUGGGACAGAGCAAAUCACACCCAGUACCCGCAUGGGGUUUUCAACAACUACUGGUGGCAGUUUGUGAACACAACCGCUCACAUAAAGAACGAGACCAAUGGUUAUGCUUGUGAUGCCACUGGCUACACAUUCUUCUGGACUGUGGCCAUAUAGCAUCACUGAGAGCGAGACAGUUGUUUGGUUGCCUUAGCAACACAUCCAGGAGUAAACGUACUUGGAACACUGCCAACUUUUCAACUCCUCUGAACCUGAGUGGACGGUUGAUUCACCAGUAGCUGGGAAGGUGAACUGCUCUGGUACGACAGACCUGCUAGUCUGACUCCAAGUAUCUGACUUGCUGCAGGACAUUGAACAGCUAAACGAACUGGAAACAGGCCAGUUACCUAUGUGUAUGAAGGGCAAUGGAUUAGUCCAAGUUGGAGAUUUAUCAUGGAAUUUGUGCAACGUCACCUAUUCUUUGUGUCCUCUGCAAGAAGGAUGCAAACAGAGAAGCCUUUUGUCUACAUUUACAUCAUGAACACUUCUCUAAGCUGGUUGAGGCUUUGAGCUAAGAAGAUCAAAACAGCUUGAUCCAAUUUCCUUUACAAAACUUUUCCUGCGGUGACAACAGGACAGGAGAAGAGUUGUAAAUGCAGAUAAUUCACCAGUUGACUCUAACCCCCACAGGAUGCCUAUAGUGAGAAGAUUUGGGGGGUUGAUAGGAGUCAUAAAGAAGGGUGUUGACCAGGCUACAGCUUUGAAGUUAGCUGAGAGCCACAUGGACAAACGAUAAAGUCAACUGAUGCGUGUGAAUGUCUAUGUCUGUAUACAGUUGGAUUGUAGUGACAUAUGAUUUUUGAGAAUGUUGAUUCUUCUUGUUUGACUGUUACUUUCAGUUGUUUACUUGCAGAAAUAUAUAAUGAAUCGCACGACAGGAGUAGAUGCACCACAAGGCUGGAGAGCUUGGUUAAUGUCUGGUCCUUGGUGGCAUCUUCUUUUGAAAAUAUUAACUCCUGUUUUUGGACUGUUGACAUUGAUUUGCUUAUGUAUAGGAUGCAUUUUCCCUUGUAUAAGAUCAAUGCUAACUAAAAUGAUUUCUAAUACAUUUGUUAAUUAUGUACUUUUACAACAAUAUGAAUUGAUUGAAAUGAAUGACAUGACAGAAGCCUGUGUAUAAAUGACGCCU